rnacentral:tRNA from 1 species
CGUCAAAUAGCUCAGUGAUUUAGAGCAGUCGCUCGGCAAGCGAAAGACCCGGGUUCGAUUCCCGGUCUAGCGA